rnacentral:rRNA from 1 species
ACUCAAAUGAAUUGACGGGGGCCUGAACAAGCGGUGGAGCAUGUGGUUUAAUUCGAAACAACGCGCAAAACCUUACCAGCUCUUGACAUUAUUUUUGAGCUGUGAAAGCAGCUCAUUUUACAUAAUUAAUACAGGUGUUGCAUGGCUGUCGUCAGCUCGUGUCGUGAGAUGUUGGGUUAAGUCCUAUAACGAGCGCAACCCCUAUAGUCAGUUAACACAAUACAGAGUAUAUAUUUUUUAUAAAAUAUUGAUUUGUAUUGUACUCUGAUUAAACUGCCUGUGAUAAGCAGGAGGAAGGUGGGGAUGACGUCAAGUCCUCAUGACCCUUAUGAGCUGGGCUACACAUGUGCUACAAUGGUAAUGACAGAGGGAAGCAAUGACGUGAGUCGGAGCAAAUCCUAUAAACAUUAUCUCAGUCCGGAUUGUUUUCUGCAACUCGAAAACAUGAAGUUGGAAUCGCUAGUAAUCGCGGAUCAGAACGCCGCGGUGAAUACGUUCCCAGGCCUUGUACACACCGCCCGU